GCAGUUCUACUGACCUUAGUACAAGAAAUAUCCUGAACUGAACGGGGUCUGUGCCCUUUGAUGCUGUUCAUAUGCUGCAUUAAUAAGUCUUUAGUGCAUCACAGAUCAACUGGAGACUGACUGAAACACAGAUUGCUGGGUGUCUCCUCCAGAAUUUCUGAUGCUCUGAGUCUCGAGUGAAGCAUGGAAACCUGUACUUCUAACAAGUUCUGGGGGACAAUGACGCUGCUGGUGGUUAUGAGUCUGGCUCCAUGGACUGGCAGUUAAAGCAGCAGCCCCAUCAGACGGUGAAAUGCACCCUUCAAGUGUGGACCUGAGCCCAGAGGCUUGAGAAACA